UACGUAGGGGCAAGCGUUGUCCGGAAUCAUUGGGCGUAAAGCGCGUGUAGGCGGCUCAGUAAGUCCGCUCUGAAAGCCCGGGGCUCAACCUCGGAACUGCCUUCGAUACUGCGGGUCUCGAGUCCGGGAGAGGUGAGUGGAAUUCCUAGUGUAGAGGUGAAAUUCGUAGAUAUUAGGAAGAACACCAGUGGCGAAGGCGGCUCCAGCUGGCCCGGUACUGACGCUGAGGCGCGAAAGCGUGGGGAGCAAACAGG
rnacentral:rRNA from 1 species